AGUGAACGCUGGCGGUAGGCCUAACACAUGCAAGUCGAACGGCAGCACAGUAAGAGCUUGCUCUUACGGGUGGCGAGUGGCGGGCGGGUGAGGAAUACAUCGGAAUCUACUUUUUCGUGGGGGAUAACGUAGGGAAACUUACGCUAAUACCGCAUACGACCUACGGGUGAAAGCAGGGGAUCUUCGGACCUUGCGCGAUUGAAUGAGCCGAUGUCGGAUUAGCUAGUUGGCGGGGUAAAGGCCCACCAAGGCGACGAUCCGUAGCUGGUCUGAGAGGAUGAUCAGCCACACUGGAACUGAGACACGGUCCAGACUCCUACGGGAGGAAGCAGUGGGGAAUAUUGGACAAUGGGCGCAAGCCUGAUCCAGCCAUACCGCGUGGGUGAAGAAGGCCUUCGGGUUGUAAAGCCCUUUUGUUGGGAAAGAAAAGCAGCAGGUUAAUACCCCGCUGUUCUGACGGUACCCAAAGAAUAAGCACCGGCUAACUUCGUG
rnacentral:rRNA from 1 species